ACCCUACAUCUUUGAUACUAUGACGACUGAAGUACCAAAUUCUUGGCGGAGUGAAUGCGCCUUUAGAAAACCUUAGGUCGACCCCCCGUUUCGUAGGGAUCAUCAGCCAUUGCGAGACGUGGGAUCGAUUUUUCGUCAUGAUCAAUUCAUCGCCUCGAGUGCCACAAACAAAGCCUUCAUCUCAGCUGAGAGACACUGACUCAACAAUAAAUUCUAUGACUAUCACAGCUGAAACCAACAUCUAAGCUCUCAUGAUGCUAAGGACUUCAUUUGGCUGGGAAAUAUCCGAAGUGUUUACGAAGUUGUUCAAGGAAAACGAACGUCAAAAUAGUUUGUGGUGCCAAACGGAUGAAGGCCGGAACGUAGCCCUUGAAAAACCCCAAAGGUCCC